UCCGGUGGCAAUAGCGAAGAGGUCAUAUACACCUUCGGGGCACGAGAACCCUUUCAGGGGCCGUUCCCUUACCGAACACGGAAGUCAAGUUUUUCAGCGCUGAUGGUACUUGGGGAUACCCCCUGGGAGAGUAAGACGUUGCCGGAA
rnacentral:rRNA from 1 species